CAGCAGUUCAGUGUUUGUUGAAAACUAUUUUCUGUGAGUAAUAUAAUUUUUGAGACGAGAACAUUUCAUGAGUGAACCCGGUCUCCCCUUUAGGUUUGCAUGAUGCCGUUGAGCUAUUCUGUUAAUGUUCAGUAUACAGGAAUGAUUAGAUGGAUUUAGCAGAAAAUCUUCCAGCUACUUGUCCAUUGAUUCCCAUCGAAAUUCGAGGUAUAUCUCAACACUAGCCGUAUCUAAAGUUCGGCUGCCGACCGCUGGCCAUCGGUGGGAUUGGAAUAGCGCCGAUACGCAUGCUGCCGUGUAGACAGCGUAGCACUGGAACGUCUUGUCUGCACUCGAUUGUAGGACAUGAAAGAAAAAACAAAC